CGGUUUAGCUCAGUGGUAGAGCACUCGAUUUGUAAUCGAACGGUCGUCGGUUCAAUCCCGACAAC
rnacentral:tRNA from 1 species